UACGGAGGAUCCAAGCGUUAUCCGGAUUUAUUGGGUUUAAAGGGUGCGUAGGCGGCUUUUUAAGUCAGGGGUGAAAGACGGUGGCUCAACCAUCGCAGUGCCCUUGAUACUGAAGAGCUUGAAUGAAUUAGAGGUAGGCGGAAUGUGACAAGUAGCGGUGAAAUGCAUAGAUAUGUCACAGAACACCAAUUGCGAAGGCAGCUUACUAUGGUUUUAUUGACGCUGAGGCACGAAAGCGUGGGGAUCAAACAG
rnacentral:rRNA from 1 species